UACGAGGGGGGCAAGUGUUGUUCGGAAUCACUGGGCGUAAAGGGAGCGUAGGCGGGAGCUUAAGUGGGGUGUUUAAAACCGGGGCCCAACCCCGGAGGGGCACCCCAAACUGGGUUUCUUGAAUGGGACAGAGGCCGGUGGAAUUGGAGGUGUAGCGGUGGAAUGCGUAGAGAUCUCCAAGAACACCAGUUGCGAAGGCGGCCGGCUGGGUCCACAUUGACGCUGAGGCUCGAAAGCGUGGGGAGCAAACAGG
rnacentral:misc_RNA from 1 species